CCUACGGGGGGCAGCAGUGGGGGAUAUUGCACAAUGGGGGGAACCCUGAUGCAGCGACGCCGCGUGAGCGAAGAAGUACCUCGGUAUGUAAAGCUCUAUCAGCAGGGAAGAAAAUGACGGUACCUGACUAAGAAGCCCCGGCUAAAUACGUGCCAGCAGCCGCGGUAAUACGUAUGGGGCAAGCGUUAUCCGGAUUUACUGGGUGUAAAGGGAGCGCAGGCGGCCUGCCAAGUCUGGUGUGAAAGGCCGGGGCUCAACCCCGGGACUGCAUUGGAAACUGGCAUGCUGGAGUGCCGGAGGGGCAAGCGGAAUUCCUAGUGUAGCGGUGAAAUGCGUAGAUAUUAGGAGGAACACCGGUGGCGAAGGCGGCUUGCUGGACGGUAACUGACGUUGAGGCUCGAAAGCGUGGGGAGCAAACAGGAUUAGAUACCCGUGUAGUC
rnacentral:rRNA from 1 species